rnacentral:rRNA from 1 species
UACGAAGGGGGCUAGCGUUGCUCGGAAUUACUGGGCGUAAAGCGCACGUAGGCGGCUUUCUAAGUCGGGGGUGAAAUCCUGGAGCUCAACUCCAGAACUGCCUUCGAUACUGGAGAGCUUGAGUCCGGGAGAGGUGAGUGGAACUGCGAGUGUAGAGGUGAAAUUCGUAGAUAUUCGCAAGAACACCAGUGGCGAAGGCGGCUCACUGGCCCGGUACUGACGCUGACGGUGCGAAAGCGUGGGAGCAAACAGGG